AUUGAACGCUGGCGGCAGGCCUAACACAUGCCAGUCGAGCGGAUGAAGGGAGCUUGCUCCUGGAUUCAGCGGCGGACGGGUGAGUAAUGCCUAGGAAUCUGCCUGGUAGUGGGGGAUAACGUCCGGAAACGGGCGCUAAUACCGCAUACGUCCUGAGGGAGAAAGUGGGGGAUCUUCGGACCUCACGCUAUCAGAUGAUCCUAGGUCGGAUUAGCUAGUUGGUGGGGUAAAGGCCUACCAAGGCGACGAUCCGUAACUGGUCUGAGAGGAUGAUCAGUCACACUGGAACUGAGACACGGUCCAGACUCCUACGGGAGGCAGCAGUGGGGAAUAUUGGACAAUGGGCGAAAGCCUGAUCCAGCCAUGCCGCGUGUGUGAAGAAGGUCUUCGGAUUGUAAAGCACUUUAAGUUGGGAGGAAGGGCAGUAAGUUAAUACCUUGCUGUUUUGACGUUACCAACAGAAUAAGCACCGGCUAACUUCGUG
rnacentral:rRNA from 1 species